GGGGCUAUAGCUCAGCUGGCUAGAGUGCUUGCAUGGCAUGCAAGAAGUCAGGGGUUCGAAUCCCCUUAGCUCCA
rnacentral:tRNA from 1 species